GACGAACGCUGGCGGCGUGCUUAACACAUGCAAGUCGAACGGAAAGGCCCUGCUUUUGUGGGGUGCUCGAGUGGCGAACGGGUGAGUAACACGUGAGUAACCUGCCCUUGACUUUGGGAUAACUUCAGGAAACUGGGGCUAAUACCGGAUAGGAGCUCCUGCUGCAUGGUGGGGGUUGGAAAGUUUCGGCGGUUGGGGAUGGACUCGCGGCUUAUCAGCUUGUUGGUGGGGUAGUGGCUUACCAAGGCUUUGACGGGUAGCCGGCCUGAGAGGGUGACCGGCCACUUUGGGACUGGGAUGCGGCCCAGACCCCGAGGGGAGGAAGAAGGGGGGAAUAUUGCCCAAGGGGCGGAAGCCUGAUGAGGCAACGCAGCGGGGGGGAUACGGGCCUUCGGGUUGAAAACCGCUUUCGCCUGUGACGAAGGGUAGGUGAGGGUAAUGGGUAAAGAAGCACCGGCUAACUACGG
rnacentral:rRNA from 1 species